rnacentral:misc_RNA from 1 species
UCUCCGCUUGCGCGGGCAGUCUCUUUAGAGUCCCCACCAUGACGUGCUGGCAACUAAGAUCAAGGGUUGCGCUCGUUGCGGGACUUAACCCAACAUCUCACGACACGAGCUGACGACAACCAUGCACCACCUGUCACUCUGUCCCCCGAAGGGGAACCCCCUAUCUCUAGGGUUGUCAGAGGAUGUCAAGACCUGGUAAGGUUCUUCGCGUUGCUUCGAAUUAAACCACAUGCUCCACCGCUUGUGCGGGCCCCCGUCAAUUCCUUUGAGUUUCAGUCUUGCGACCGUACUCCCCAGGCGGAGUGCUUAAUGCGUUAGCUGCAGCACUAAAGGGCGGAAACCCUCUAACACUUAGCACUCAUCGUUUACGGCUAGGACUAC